AAGAAGAAGAGAAACCCAUCUCUCGCUCUCUCAAAUCUGACCCUUUGUGCGUUAUGGAGCAACUCUCCUUCAGAUGACUAGUUUCAACCCUUUGGUGUGUUCCAACGAAAGGGUAAAUGGAACCUUUGCUUCUUUCCUCAACUUCAACCUUUACCCCCGCAUUAACCACUCCCCAGUAUUUCUUCUCCCUCUUUAACCAAAAGGAAGAGGUGAGAGGUGGUGGGGUCCACUCACUCAGUUCUUUUUGGCAGUAAUCUUUAUUCGAAGCAGAAGGAAGAAGAAGAAGAAGAAGUGGUAAAUCCUCAUAUUUUGUUGAUUUGGAAGAACGGUUGCUUGUUUGGACUCCUUUUGCUUGUGGCUUUGGAUGAUUGAAUUGGGUUUUGAUUGUUAACACUAAUCCGGGCUAGGGCCCCCCAAAGAACUCCUGAGCCAUGGCAGGCAUUGAUGUGUCGAAGUAUGCCCACAGUCAUGUGCACAGAGCUGUAGCCAUGAAGGACUAUGCAACUCUCGGAAAGAUACUUUCGGGCCUCCCACGGUUUUGUGACCCAUCUGAAAUUCGCACUGAAUCAGAUUCACUAUCCGAAGAACAAAAGGCUGAUGCCGUUUCUGCUGUGAUUGACUGUCGCAAUGUCCCUAACCGUGACACCCCUCUUCACUUAGCUGUCAAGCUCAGUGACGAGACUGCAACUGAAAUGCUUAUGAUUGCCGGUGCAGACUGGAGCUUGCAAAAUGAGCAGGGGUGGAGUCCACUCCAGGAAGCAAUAUGUAACAGGGAAGAAGUGAUAGCACGAAUCAUAGUCAAGCACUACCAGCCGCUGGCUUGGGCUAAAUGGUGUAGAAGGUUGCCGCGGUUGAUACAAACCAUGAGGAGGAUGCGAGAUUUCUACAUGGAAAUAACUUUCCACUUUGAGAGCUCAGUUAUCCCUUUCAUCUCACGGAUUGCACCGUCUGACACGUACAGAAUAUGGAAAAGAGGUGCCAACUUGAGGGCAGAUAUGACUUUGUCUGGUUUCGAUGGGUUGAGAAUCCAGCGAUCGGAUCAGAGUGUUCUUUUUCUUGGCGAUGGGUCCGAGGAUGGAAAAGUUCCUCGUGGGUCACUUUGCAUGAUCACGCACAAAGAUAAGGAAGUGAUGAAUGCUUUAGAUGGUGCCGGUGCCACAGCAAGUGAGGCAGAGGUGCAGCAAGAAGUGAAAGCUAUGUCCCAAACUAAUAUAAUAAGGCCUGGGAUCGAUGUGACUGAAGCAGUUCUUUUGCCACAGGUGACAUGGAGACGACAAGAGAAAACAGAAAUGGUGGGUAUUUGGAAGGCUAAAGUGUAUGAUAUGCACAAUGUGGUUGUCAGCAUAAAGUCCAGGAGGGUUCCAGGUGCUAUGACGGACGAAGAGUUGUUUUCAGCUUGUAAUGACAAUGAAACUGAAAGUGAAGGCCUUGAUGAUCUUCUGACGGAUGAGGAAAGAAGGCAACUUGAAGUUGCACUCAAGUUGGAUUCUUCGGAUUUAAGCAAUGAGAAUGAUUUAAGCAAUGAGAAUGGUGAGAUUAGGCAUGGAAAGAAGGGAUGGUUUGGCGGGUGGAGAAAACAGGAUAAUACUGAGGAUAAAGGGAAGAAGAGGACUGUCGCACCAAGAGGUUCACUCUCUGUAGAAGAGAAGGUUAGUAGUGAUCUGCUUGGUGAUUCUCCAUCACAAGGUCAGAACAAUCCGGGACGACACUCAGUGGAGAUUGAUGUGAGGGGCGAUGAGAACCCUAGAGGAAAGCACACCAAAAUAUCAUCAUCCGUGAAUUCUGAGAGUGGAACUCGCCGGAAGGAUGGAAGCCGUGAAAAUGAAUACAAGAAAGGGUUAAGGCCUGUCCUCUGGCUUUCUCCGGAUUUUCCAUUGCGCUCUGAAGAACUCCUUCCGCUGCUAGACAUUCUGGCUAACAAAGUUAAAGCCAUUCGUCGCUUGCGAGAACUGCUUACUACAAAACUUCCUUUGGGCACCUUUCCGGUCAAGGUUGCUAUCCCCGUGGUUCCCACCAUCAGAGUGUUGGUUACAUUUACAAAAUUUGAAGAGUUACAACCAGUGGAUGAAUUCUCAACCCCCCCUUCGAGUCCAACGGGCCGAGAAAGCCCAGCAAUCAUGCAGUCAUCGAGUUCCUCAUGGUUUCAGUGGAUAAAAGCUCCUUACCAAAGACCAAGUUCUUCCACUGGUGGUUCGAGCAAUAGGAUAGAAAAUAUUCAAGAUCCGUUUGCAAUUCCUCCAGAUUACACAUGGGUUACAGCUGAAGCAAAGAAAAAGAAGAUGCAGGAGAAAAGGAAAUCAAAGGGAAAGAAGUCAGAAUCAGUAGUUUGAGAUGAGAUUGAUAUCCAUUACUUGGUAGCAGAUGAAUACUAAGUGAGGACACUGGCUUCGUCAAUAUCAUAGUUCGCAUGUGAAAGAACAGAGAAAUAGGGGCCACACUUGUACGUAGAAGAUGAUCCGUUCGUAGAGUUACAAUCUGUGUUUCAGCUGAUGCCCAUUCUUUGUCAUAUGUGCCUUCAAAGACCCAUUCUCUUGCUCAUGUUGAAACUUUGAAGAGCAAAAGAGCGUGUUUGCUGUAAAUAUGGCGUCCGGAAAACUACUUGGACAUGCUUUUUGGUUCGUAUUGUGGUGCCUCCUCUCUAGUCGUGGAGUACAGAAUUUGAGCUCUAUUGAUAUUUGCUGAAGAGAAUAGCAUCUGAAUAUAUAGAAUACUGCUGAACAGAACUUUGAAGUAUACCAUCUGCAAAGUAAGAAUGAAUCCACUUCAUGAGCGCAGAGGAUACUGAAGCAAAAAUGGUGACAAGAACGAUGAAAUAAUUCCAUCCAUAGCUGCAAUGAAUGCAUUUAAACUCCAUGCGAAAAUCGCUUCUUGUUGUUACUGCUGUUGUUGCUGCUACUUCUGUGGUGAACUUGAUCAUCGUUACAGUCAGAACACCGAGAUGGUACAUAGCAAGAGCACACUAAGGAGGUGCACCUGUUCUGCGCCGACGCCGCCAGGAGUGCAGACAACAAGCUUAAACAACCCGUCUUGAGGGAGAGCAUGCAGAUCUCCCCAGUCGCCGCACUUGCCUGGCUCCCAAGUCGGUAGGGACUUCUCUGUUCACGCUUAGAGAUGUAAAACGCUGGUUGCUCCUUCCUAUCCUACCUUUUCCUGCUCUCUUGCCGUCCCUCUUCUUGAUACCAGGACCAGCUCCAAGGAUACUGUGUUUAUUGGGAUGCCUGUCUUUCAAACUAUCUGGACAGGAGAGUUUUGUUUUUGAUGGAAUGUGGGCGAUUUCUACGGAUGAUUACAGUUUUGCUUUGAAAAUAAGAUAAUGGUCUGUGGUGGGUUUUUUUUUUGAGGCUGGGAAAAGAAGUUUAAUGGAUACAGAAACAGGUUUGCUCAUGCUCGUGCCUCUCCCCACUAAGAGUUGUUUUCUUUUGCUUUUGCCUUGGGUACUCAUUGGUGUGACGUAUUUAGUGCUCUUUUUAACUUUUUGGAAUGUUUGUGAAAUUACUUACACUGUUUGUCAGCUCUUGCAUCAUUGAGAUGAUCACAUGUUCUUUUCUUUCUCAAUGUUAUUUUGCUUUUCUCA